rnacentral:rRNA from 1 species
GAUGAACGCUGACAGAAUGCUUAACACAUGCAAGUCUACCAAGAAUCACUUCGGUGAGGAAUGGUGGCGGACGGGUGAGUAACGCGUAAAUAAUCUGCCCUUUAGACUGGGAUAUCCUUUGGAAACGAAGGUUAAUACCGGAUAUUAUGAGAUGGACGCAUGUUCAACUUAUGAAAGCUAAAUGCACUAGAGGAGGAGUUGGCGUCCCAUAGCUAGUUGGUGAGGUAAAGGCGCACCAAGGCCACGAUGGGUAGCCGGCCUGAGAGGGUGAAGGGCCACAAGGGAACUGAGACACGGUCCUUACUCCUACGGGAGGCAGCAGUGGGGAAUAUUGGACAAUGGACCAAAAGUCUGAUCCAGCAACUCUGUGUGCACGAUGAAGGUCUUCGGAUUGUAAAGUGCUUUCAGUAGGGAAGAAAAAAAUGACGGUACCUACAGAAGAAGCGACGGCUAAAUAUGUGCCAGCAGCAGCCGCAGUAA